rnacentral:misc_RNA from 1 species
GAUGAAGAACGUAGCGAAAUGCGAUACGUAAUGUGAAUUGCAGAAUUCAGUGAAUCAUCGAAUCUUUGAACGCAUAUUGCGCUCUCUGGUAUUCCGGAGAGCAUGCUUGUUUGUGUAUCAGUAAACACCUCAACUCCCUUUUCUUUUUUGAAAUUGGAGCUGGACUUGAGUGAUCCCAACGCUUUCUUCCAAGAAAGUGGCGGGUUGCUUGAAAUGCAGGUGCAGCUGAACUUUUCUCUGAGCUAUAAGCAUAUCUAUUUAGUCUGCCUAAAAAACAGAUUAUUACCUUUGCUGCAGCUAACAUAAAGGAGACUAGUUCUUGUGCUGACUGAUGCAGGAUUCACAGAGACAGCUUCGGCUGACUUUGUAAACUCGAUCUCAAAUCAAGUAAGACUACCCGCUGAACUUAAGCAUAUCAAUAAGCGGAGGA